UAAAUGGACGCCAUGGGUAUUUCGUAACAUAAAAAAGCCCAACCAUUACAUUUUAUUUAAUCUUAAGCCCAAUCGUUCUUACCACUUCCCUCCCUGACUUGUUCUUCAACUCCGAUUCCAAUCAAAACUUGUGCUCCAACUUUCAGUAGCCCCUUCCCCUCAACCUUCUGCCAAUAUUGCAAGGUUUUGAUGAUUCCGACUGUGAUUCAAAAUUGGAAGGAUAUUUCAGAGAUUUUCAAGGUUUAGUUUAUCUGUUUUAGUUAAACUCUCAUAUUCUUGUGUUUGUAUCUCAGCCACCAAUUUAAUUUCCUUUCCCAUACCUUUUGCAUGUUGAAGUCCACUUCAACAUAAUCUCCCUAGAACCUACGAGAUUGGUUUGGGUUCUAGUUUUCCACAUCAACCCGACGAAUCCGCCAACACCCAGCAUCGAGGUUGGUCUCAAACCAUUCAUCAUCAUUCAUCAUCUCAGGUAUUCUAAUGCUGAUUGGGCUGAGUGUCGGAUUUCUUGCUAUUUCAUCGGCCAAAUCAUGUCUCUUGGAGCUCCACCAAACAACCCCCCGCUCAAGUGCCGACUCUUGCUUGUGCCGAAUCUUUGUGGCUUACAUUUGUUCUUCGUGAACUUCGGUAUCACGUGUCUACUUCAAGUUUAUUGUUUCGUGAUAACUACCACUUACUGUUGGGUUACGGCUCAAAGUUAAGAUAAUGCAAAAAUAGGGUUUGUGU